UGUGUGUGUGUGUGUGUGUGCAUGUGUGUGUGUACGCAUGUAGAUAAACACACACACACACAUACACACACAUACA
rnacentral:miRNA from 1 species